AACCUGCGGAGGGAUCAUUACACAACAAAAUACGAAGGCCGUUCGCGGCUGGACUAUUUAUUACCCUUGUCUUUUGCGCACUUGUUGUUUCCUGGGCGGGUUCGCCCGCCACCAGGACCACCAUAUAAACCUUUUUUAUGCAGUUGCAAUCAGCGUCAGUACAACAAAUGUAAAUCAUUUACAACUUUCAACAACGGAUCUCUUGGUUCUGGCAUCGAUGAAGAACGCAGCGAAAUGCGAUACGUAGUGUGAAUUGCAGAAUUCCGUGAAUCAUCGAAUCUUUGAACGCACAUUGCGCCCUUUGGUAUUCCAAAGGGCAUGCCUGUUCGAGCGUCAUUUGUACCCUCAAGCUUUGCUUGGUGUUGGGCGUUUUUGUCUUUGGCUUGCCCAAAGACUCGCCUUAAAACGAUUGGCAGCCGGCCUACUGGUUUCGCAGCGCAGCACAUUUUUGCGCUUGCAAUCAGCAAAAGAGGACGGCAAUCCAUCAAGACUCCUUCUCACGUUUGACCUCGGAUCAUGUA
rnacentral:rRNA from 1 species